UUCAGAUGGGUUUAUUUCAAGUGUGUGACUAAUGGUACCUGAUCAACUGCUCCUGGGAAAGGUCGAUAGAGAAGUCGGUGAUACUCAGACGUGACAGCGACUUCCUGCUGACUGCAGUCACACCAACAAAUGUUCGGCAGAGCUUUCUUUGGGCUUGUUUCCACUGAAGUUGUGGAUCAAUUUGGCGAACGCUCGUUUCUGGUCCAAGAGCUCAGCGUACGAACCCAUCUCAGAGAUGUGACCGUCUUCCAUCACCACGACCAAAUCCACCUUCGGCAGCAGACUGAGGCUAAGUCCUUUGGGUCCGAGGACUCGGUCGAAGAUAUGCUGCCCCACAUGAGUGUCGACGGCGGACAGUGGGUCAUCCAGCAGACAGGUUGAGUCCCUGCACCCAAUCAUCACGCCGUCAUCAGCAGCCCAUCGUGUGAAUUAGUGAAUUAUGUUUAUAUAGCGCUUUUCUCGAGUGACUCAAAGCGCUUUACAUAGUGAAACCCAAUAUCUAAGUUACAUUUAAACCAGUGUGGGUGACACCGGGAGCAGGUGGGUAAAGGGUGAAGUGAAGUGAAGUGAAUUAUAUUUAUAUAGCGCUUUUCUCUAGUGACUCAAAGCGCUUUACAUAGUGAAACCCAAUAUCUAAGUUACAUUUAAACCAGUGUGGAUGGCACUGGGAGCACGUGGGUAAAGUGUCUUGCCCAAGGAAUGAUCCAUCACAUGGCUGGAUUACUUGUAACACAUCAAAUAAAAACUUUUAAUCUCCAAAAA